UGAGUGCGAGCUUCUACGGAAGCGAAGUUGGUGACGUCAAGCUUCCAAGAAAAGCCCUAUACCCGUUAAGGCAUGAUUACCUGUACCCGAAACCGACACAGGUGGGGUGGUAGAGAAUACCGAGGGGCGCGAGGUAACUCUCUCUAAGGAACUCGGCAAAAUGACCCCGUAACUUCGGGAGAAGGGGUGCCAGCGCGAGCUGGUCGCAGUGAAUAGGCCCAGGCGACUGUUUACCAAAAACACAGGUCUCCGCUAAGUCGCAAGACGAUGUAUGGGGGCUGACGCCUGCCCAGUGCCGGAAGGUUAAAGAAGUUGGUCAGCGCAAGCGAAGCUAACGACUGAAGCCCCGGUGAACGGCGGCCGUAACAAUAACGGUCCUAAGGUAGCGAAAUUCCUUGUCGGGUAAGUUCCGACCCGCACGAAAGGCGUAACGAUCUGGGCGCUGUCUCGGAGAGAGGCUCGGCGAAAUAGAAUUGUCUGUGAAGAUGCGGACUACGUGCACCCGGACAGAAAGACCCUAUGAAGCUUUACUGUAGCUUGGUAUUGUGCUCGGGCUCGCAAUGCGCAGGAUAGGUGGGAGGCUUUGAUCCAUUGCUUGUGGGUGAUGGUGAGCCACUGGUGAGAUACCACUCUUUGCGAGCUAGGGUUCUAACGGUUACCCGUCAUCCGGGAACCGGACAGUAUCUGGUGGGCAGUUUGACUGGGGCGGUCGCCUCCUAAAAGGUAACGGAGGCGCGCAAAGGUUUGCUCAGGCUGGUUGGAAAUCAGCCGACGAGUGUAAAAGCAGAAGCAAGCUUGACUGUGAGACCUACAAGUCGAACAGGGAGGAAACUCGGCUUUAGUGAUCCGACGGUUCUGAGUGGAAGGGCCGUCGCUCAACGGAUAAAAGUUACUCUAAGGAUAACAGGCUGAUCUCCCCCAAGAGUUCACAUCGACGGGGAGGUUUGGCACCUCGAUGUCGGCUCAUCGCAACCUGGGGCUGAAGUCGGUCCCAAGGGUUGGGCUGUUCGCCCAUUAAAGCGGUACGCGAGCUGGGUUCAGAACGUCGUGAGACAGUUCGGUCCAUAUCCGGUGCAUGCGCAGGAAUAUUGAGAGGAUUUCUCCCUAGUACGAGAGGACCGGGAGGAACGCACCUCUGGUGAACCAGUUAUCGUGCCAACGGUAAACGCUGGGUAGCCAUGUGCGGAGUGGAUAACCGCUGAAAGCAUCUAAGUGGGAAGCCCACCUCAAGAUGAGUAUUCCCAUGGCUUAAGCCAGUAAGGUCACGGGAAGAACACCCGUUGAUAGGCUCUAUGUGGAAGCGCAGUAAUGCGUGAUGCAGAGGAGUACUAAUAGACCGAGGGCUUGACC
rnacentral:rRNA from 1 species